UAGGGAAUCUUCCGCAAUGGACGCAAGUCUGACGGAGCAACGCCGCGUGAGUGAAGAAGGAUUUCGGUUCGUAAAACUCUGUUGUUAGAGAAGAACAGCGCAUAGAGUAACUGUUAUGCGUGUGACGGUAUCUAACCAGAAAGCCACGGCUAACUACGUGCCAGCAGCCGCGGUAAUACGUAGGUGGCAAGCGUUGUCCGGAUUUAUUGGGCGUAAAGCGAGCGCAGGCGGUCAAUUAAGUCUGAUGUGAAAGCCCCCGGCUCAACCGGGGAGGGCCAUUGGAAACUGGUUGACUUGAGUGCAGAAGAGGAGAGUGGAAUUCCAUGUGUAGCGGUGAAAUGCGUAGAUAUAUGGAGGAACACCAGUGGCGAAGGCGACUCUCUGGUCUGUAACUGACGCUGAGGUUCGAAAGCGUGGGUAGCAAACAGG
rnacentral:rRNA from 1 species